ACUCCUACGGGAGGCAGCAGUAGGGAAUCUUCCACAAUGGGCGCAAGCCUGAUGGAGCAACACCGCGUGAGUGAAGAAGGGUUUCGGCUCGUAAAGCUCUGUUGUUAAAGAAGAACACGUAUGAGAGUAACUGCUCAUACGUUGACGGUAUUUAACCAGAAAGUCACGGCUAACUACGUGCCAGCAGCCGCGGUAAUACGUAGGUGGCAAGCGUUAUCCGGAUUUAUUGGGCGUAAAGAGAGUGCAGGCGGUUUUCUAAGUCUGAUGUGAAAGCCUUCGGCUUAACCGGAGAAGUGCAUCGGAAACUGGAUAACUUGAGUGCAGAAGAGGGUAGUGGAACUCCAUGUGUAGCGGUGGAAUGCGUAGAUAUAUGGAAGAACACCAGUGGCGAAGGCGGCUACCUGGUCUGCAACUGACGCUGAGACUCGAAAGCAUGGGUAGCGAACAGGAUUAGAUACCCUGGUAGGAUAGCG
rnacentral:rRNA from 1 species